UGAAGGUUGUGCUUUUGUGGAACUGGAGUUCAUCGGAAGUUCUACAGUGCUUGCGCCAGAGAAACGUCGGUGCCUCUGUACCUGUUAGACGAAGGAGCGUUUGCCAAGUCUUGAAAGGUAGACAUCGGUGACGGUGUAUGUGUUGAAAAGGGCCUGCUGAAGAGGCUGCACCUGGAUGCUAACAACUCGGGCUUUCACUUCGCUGAGGGCCUCCUUAAAGCUCCGUUUUCAAUAGAAGACGUUGAAGGGAGGUCCUUCUUUGGGCGGCUGUCAAAUGCCUUCCACAGAAGUAUCCGUUGGAUUCCAAGAAGGUCAACACCAUACUAGACUACACAACGCAACAUUUCAGCCUACUUUCAGUGCAGCUGGAGAACUCGUCCUCAUUACUAUCCCAGGAAUAUUAAAUGGAUGUGUUCAAGCACAAAUGUAAACCUGUCUUCUUCUGUUGCAUGCCACACCUAGCCACUUGGCAACCACUGUUCGCCACAGACAGAUAGUUGACAGGAUGUUACUAGCAAGUCGUUAGGAUAUAUAAAGGUGGUUAAUAAAUAGUCGCUGCACAGUUUUUAGGAAGUAAAUAAAAAUUUUAUUCAGAGAUAAUGAAAGCUUAUUCUUGCAAUAUAUAAUUCCAAAAGUAAUUACCUCUGAAUAAAAUUUUGAUGUACUUCCUAAAAACUGUGAAGUGACUAUUUAUUAACCACCUUUAUACAUCCUAACGACUUCCUAGUAACAUCCUGUCAACUAUCUGUCUGUGGCGAAUAGUCGACAGGAUGUUACUAGCAAGUUGUUAGGAUGUAUAAAGGUGGUCAAUAAAUAGUCGCUUCACAGUUGA
rnacentral:lncRNA from 1 species